CACCGCCUGGGGAGUACGACCGCAAGGUUAAAACUCAAAUGAAUUGACGGGGACCCGCACAAGUAGUGGAGCAUGUGGUUUAAUUCGAAGAUACGCGCAGAACCUUACCAACACUUGACAUGUUCGUCGCGACUUUAAGAGAUUAAAGUUUUCGGUUCGGCCGGACGAAACACAGGUGCUGCAUGGCUGUCGUCAGCUCGUGUCGUGAGAUGUUGGGUUAAGUCCCGCAACGAGCGCAACCCUCACUUUUAGUUGCCAUCAUUUAGUUGGGCACUCUGAAAGAACUGCCAGUGAUAAGCUGGAGGAAGGUGGGGAUGACGUCAAGUCCUCAUGGCCCUUACGUGUUGGGCUACACACGUGCUACAAUGGUAUCUACAACAGGAAGCAAGACGGCAACGUUAAGCAAAUCCUAAAAAGAUACCUCAGUUCGGAUUGCACUCUGCAACUCGAGUGCAUGAAGCUGGAAUUACUAGUAAUCGUGGAUCAGCGUGCCACGGUGAAUGCGUUCCCGGGUCUUGUACACACCGCCCGUCACACCAUGGGAGUUGGUUCUACCUUAAGGCAAAGCUUAAAACCUUUGACCACGGUAUAAUCAGCGACUGGGGUGAAGUCGUAACAAGGUAGCCGUAGGGGAACCUGCGGCUGGAUUACCUCCUUUCUAAGGAUGAAUGAAAUUAAGAUUUCAUUCUAAAUAAUUAACAGGUGAAUGUUGACCGCCCGCAUUUCUCUUCUUAAAAAUAGUGUUUCUCUUCUGAACGGGGGCCGGUAGCUCAGUUGGUUAGAGCACACCCUUGAUAAGGGUGGGGUCGAAAGUUCGAGUCUUUCUCGGCCCACCAAAUUUAAUGGGGGAUUAGCUCAGCUGGGAGAGCGCCUGAUUUGCAUUCAGGAGGUCAGCGGUUCGAUCCCGCUAUCCUCCACCAAAUUUGAGACAUUUAGCUUAUUUAAAUCGUAAAUAUUAUUAUCAAUAUCUAUAUCCGAUUGUUUUCAGACAUGUAGUUUGAAGACAAUCAAAACAAAAAUUUAAUUUAUAACAGAAAAAUUUUUUUCUG
rnacentral:sRNA from 1 species